AUUGAACGCUGGCGGCAUGCCUAAUACAUGCAAGUCGAGCGAACGAACGAGGAACUUUCUCCUCUGACGUUAGCGACGGAUGGGUAAUUACCACGUGGAUAACCUGCCUAGAAGACUGGGAUAAGUUAGGGAAACCGGAGCUCAUACCCGAUAAUAUAGUGAAAGGGAUGGUUCAAUAGUGAACACCGGAUUAGCUGUGACUUAUUCAUAGAUCCUGGACGCAUUAGCUAGUUGGUAAGGUAACGGCUUACCAAGGCAACGAUGCGUAGCGGACCUGAGAGGCUGAUCGGAGACAAGGGAACUGAGACACGGUCCAGACUCCUACGGGAGGCAGCAGUAGGGAAUUUUACGCAAUGGGCGAAAGCCUGAGGCAGCAAAGCCGCGUGAGUGAUGAAGGUCUUCGGAUGGUAAAACUCUGUAAUUAGGGACGAAAAAAUGUGAAAUUAAAUCUUCCCGUUUUGACGGUACCAAACCAGAAAGCCACGGCUAACUCCGUG
rnacentral:rRNA from 1 species